rnacentral:rRNA from 1 species
UGGGGAAUAUUGGACAAUGGGCGAAAGCCUGAUCCAGCCAUGCCGCGUGUGUGAAGAAGGUCUUCGGAUUGUAAAGCACUUUAAGUUGGGAGGAAGGGCAGUAAGCGAGUACCUUGCUGUUUUGACGUUACCUACAGACUAAGCACCGGCUAACUCUGUGCCAGCAGCCGCGGUAAUACAGAGGGUGCAAGCGUUAAUCGGAAGUACUGGGCGUAAAGCGCGCGUAGGUGGUACGUUAAGUUGAAUGUGAAAGCCCCGGGCUCAACCUGGGAACUGCAUCGAAAACUGGCGAGCUAGAGUAGGGCAGAGGGUGGUGGAAUUUCCUGUGUAGCGGUGAAAUGCGUAGAUAUAGGAAGGAAAACCAGUGGCGAAGGCGAGCACCUGGGCUCAUACUGACACUGAGGUGCGAAAGCGUGGGGAGCAAACCGG